GACGAACGCUGGCGGCGUGCUUAACACAUGCAAGUCGAACGGAAAGGCCCUGCUUUUGUGGGGUGCUCGAGUGGCGAACGGGUGAGUAACACGUGAGUAACCUGCCCUUGACUUUGGGAUAACUUCAGGAAACUGGGGCUAAUACCGGAUAGGAGCUCCUGCUGCAUGGUGGGGGUUGGAAAGUUUCGGCGGUUGGAGAUGGACUCGCGGCUUAUCAGCUUGUUGGUGGGGUAGUGGCUUACCAAGGCUUUGACGGGUAGCCGGCCUGAGAGGGUGACCGGCCACAUUGGGACUGAGAUACGGCCCAGACUCCUACGGGAGGCAGCAGUGGGGAAUAUUGCACAAUGGGCGGAAGCCUGAUGCAGCAACGCCGCGUGCGGGAUGACGGCCUUCUGGUUGUAAACCGCUUUCGCCUGUGACGAAGCGUGAGUGACGGUAAUGGGUAAAGAAGCACCGGCUAACUACGUG
rnacentral:rRNA from 1 species